rnacentral:rRNA from 1 species
AUUGAACGCUGGCGGCAGGCCUAACACAUGCAAGUCGAGCGGAUGAGUGGAGCUUGCUCCAUGAUUCAGCGGCGGACGGGUGAGUAAUGCCUAGGAAUCUGCCUGGUAGUGGGGGACAACGUUUCGAAAGGAACGCUAAUACCGCAUACGUCCUACGGGAGAACGUGGGGGAUCUUCGGACCUCACGCUAUCAGAUGAGCCUAGGUCGGAUUAGCUAGUUGGUGAGGUAAAGGCUCACCAAGGCGACGAUCCGUAACUGGUCUGAGAGGAUGAUCAGUCACACUGGAACUGAGACACGGCCAGACUCCUACGGGAGGCAGCAGUGGGGAAUAUUGGACAAUGGGCGAAAGCCUGAUCCAGCCAUGCCGCGUGUGUGAAGAAGGUCUUCGGAUUGUAAAGCACUUUAAGUUGGGAGGAAGGGCAGUAAGUUAAUACCUUGCUGUUUUGACGUUACCAACAGAAUAAGCACCGGCUAACUCCGUGCCAGCCGCCGCAGUAA